GACGAACGCUGGCGGCGUGCUUAACACAUGCAAGUCGAACGGAAAGGCUCCAGCUUGCUGGAGUGCUCGAGUGGCGAACGGGUGAGUAACACGUGGGCAAUCUGCCCUGCACUCUGUGAUAAGCCUGGGAAACUGGGUCUAAUACCGGAUAGGACCUGUCUCCUCAUGGGGUUUGGUGGAACGUUUUUCGGUGCAGGAUGGGCCCGCGGCCUAUCAGCUUGUUGGUGGGGUAAUGGCCUACCAAGGCGACGACGGGUAGCCGGCCUGAGAGGGUGAUCGGCCACAUUGGGACUGAGAUACGGACCAGACUCCUACGGGAGGCAGCAGUGGGGAAUAUUGCACAAUGGGCGAGAGCCUGAUGCAGAGACGCCGCGAGAGGGAUGACGGCCUUCGGGUUGUAAACCUCUUUCAGUAGGGACGAAGCGCAAGUGACGGUACCUGCAGAAGAAGCACCGGCUAACUACGUG
rnacentral:rRNA from 1 species